CGGUGAGGGGAAUGAUGUAUUACUAUCGGGCACUAAAGAUGCUCGCUUUUCUCGAUUCCGCUUCCGAGAUCGACAUUCGG